rnacentral:rRNA from 1 species
GGUAUCACACUUUUCUUAUAUGCAUUGGUGCCUUCGGGAACUCUGAGACAGGUGCUGCAUGGCUGUCGUCAGCUCGUGUUGUGAAAUGUUGGGUUAAGUCCCGCAACGAGCGCAACCCUUAUCCUUGUUUGCCAGCGAGUAAUGUCGGGAACUCCAGGGAGACUGCCGGUGAUAAACCGGAGGAAGGUGGGGACAACGUCAAGUCAUCAUGGCCCUUACGAGUAGGGCUACACACGUGCUACAAUGGCGCAUACAGAGGGCAGCCAACUUGCGAGAGUGAGCGAAUCCCAAAAAGUGCGUCGUAGUCCGGAUCGGAGUCUGCAACUCGACUCCGUGAAGUCGGAAUCGCUAGUAAUCGUGGAUCAAAAUGCCACGGUGAAUACGUUCCCGGGUCUUGUACACACCGA